rnacentral:rRNA from 1 species
UACAGAGGAGCCAAGCGUUGUCCGGAUUGACUGGGCGUAAAGCGCACGCAGGCGGCCGCGCGCGUGGGGUGUGAAAUCUGGCCGCUUAACGGCCAGGCGCCAUCCCAUACGGCGCGGCUGGAGCCAUGCAGAGGGCGGUGGAAUUGCCGGUGUAGUGGUGAAAUGCGUAGAGAUCGGCAGGAACCCCCAGGGGGAAACCAGCCGCCUGGGCAUGCGCUGACGCUGAGGUGCGAGAGCGUGGGGAGCGAACCGG